GAAGAAAGGAGCUGGGGUUGAUGAGAAGAGCCAUGAAACCGAGCUAUAAGGAGACAUGGCAAGUAUGUGCAAAAGACUGUUUGAGAGCAGCAACAACACCUACAGAGCUCUCAAGCUGCCUGAAGAACUUCUUUGAUGCAUCUGAUCCAUGGGGUUUUGGCCCCAUGCUCUGCUUUGGGCUGCUGUGGCUCCUUCAGCAGAACCCAUCAUCUGACCAGGGUCCUCGUCACUCCCCACGGGCUGAGGUGAGUCUGUGGCUGCGCGCAUGGUAGGAGCUCUCUGGAGGCAUCACGCAUUUGGCAAACAGCAGCUGAAGCCAAGAGAGGAACAACGGUAUCAAAUGGGAAGGCAGUGCCAGCGCAGUGAUGGGUGUUGUGCACGGUCAUGUCACCCUACUGCAGCUACACAGUCAUGCUCUGAAACCCAAGUGUCUUCUGCCAGCCGCUCAGCGGCACUUAUUGGCUACAACUGCUGAUGGAAAAGUGUAGGGGAACUGCCCAGCUCUGAGAGACGGCUACUUCUCCUACCAGCGGUCUUUAGGGGCAGCAUCUCCAGGUCAGCUUUUCCAGCGGGGAGCCCAGCAGCUCUCAUUUUGUUAGGUUGUUUUUGCAGGAGAAGAAUGGCCAGGAAGAGGCGCAGGCUGCUGACACCUGGCUCUCUAAUAUGCUGAAGCUGGAUCCUGUUCUGCUCAGAGGGUCUGAUGGUAUCAGCCUCCAGAGAAUCAGUGUCUGACACUCCCAGUCUGUUGUUCAUAUUGGUUCGGUCUCAGCUGAGCUAUUUCUAACAAUGAAGAACAUAUCUGAGAGAGUUACAAUUUGCUGUAAUCAUAUUUUUCCAGUUUUUCUCUGUGAUAAUUACUCCCAUAAAUAUCAUUGCUUCACCUCA